rnacentral:rRNA from 1 species
UACGUAGGGGGCGAGCGUUGUCCGGAUUUAUUGGGCGUAAAGAGCGUGUAGGCGGCCGCACAGGUCCGUUGUGAAAACUGGAGGCUUAACCUUCAGACGUCGAUGGAAACCGUGCGGCUAGAGUCCGGAAGAGGAGAGUGGAAUUCCUGGUGUAGCGGUGAAAUGCGCAGAUAUCAGGAAGAACACCCGUGGCGAAGGCGGCUCUCUGGGACGGUACUGACGCUGAGACGCGAAAGCGUGGGGAGCGAACAGG